UACGAAGGGUGCAAGCGUUACUCGGAAUUACUGGGCGUAAAGCGUGCGUAGGUGGUGCGUUAAGUCUGUCGUGGAAGCCCCGGGCUCAACCUGGGAAUGGCGAUGGAUACUGGCGCGCUAGAGUGCGGUAGAGGAGAGUGGAAUUCCCGGUGUAGCAGUGAAAUGCGUAGAGAUCGGGAGGAACAUCAGUUGCGAAGGCGGCUCUCUGGACCAGCACUGACACUGAGGCACGAAAGCGUGGGGAGCAAACAGG
rnacentral:rRNA from 1 species